rnacentral:rRNA from 1 species
UACGAAGGGGGCUAGCGUUGCUCGGAAUCACUGGGCGUAAAGCGCACGUAGGCGGAUUGCUAAGUCAGGGGUGAAAUCCUGGAGCUCAACUCCAGAACUGCCUUUGAUACUGGCGAUCUCGAGUCCGGGAGAGGUGAGUGGAACUGCGAGUGUAGAGGUGAAAUUCGUAGAUAUUCGGAAGAACACCAGUGGCGAAGGCGGCUCACUGGACGACUGUUGACGCUGAGGUGCGAAAGCGUGGGGAGCAAACAGG